AGUUGUCCGUUUAUUUAGCAAAUAAAUAAACAACUUGUACUGCCAUGUAGCGAUUUCGAUAGACGACGCCUUCAAGGGAGGAGGAGUCUACAACAUAUUGAAUUUAUCGAUCGAUUGUUAGGCCGAUUUCGAUCAGCAUUGUAUAGUUAAUGAAUGACAACUUGACGAGAUCUUGACACGCACGUUGGAAGUGUACGCGUGUUUGCACCUCGAUGAGCGUUGCACAAUAACAAAGCUCCGUUGGUGAGCGUAUUGAUAAAUAAAGCUAGGUGAAGUCCUUGAGUGCCUCAAGGACUUUGUUUUGUUUUAGCAGUACUUUUUCCUUCAACAAUUAAUCUUGCAUCUCCAACCGUGGAAUGAGUUACAUGUGACUCGAGACAAACCAACAGUGCAAUUGCAACAAUAUAAUUAGUCAGCGAUAUAAAUUUGCCAUAUCUUCAUGCCAACCACAAGGAUUCUGCUUUUGCACACACCUUCAUUAUUAAUGUGUUUCUUCAGGUAUGGUCACUAUCAGCAGCUUUACACACAGUGUGCAUCGUGAAUACAUCAAUCCCAGAGAAAACAUUCCAAUGGAAAAUAUUGAGAAUUUCUGCCCUUCUAUCCUGAACUAAACAAUGCUGGUUUGUAUAAAUAGGCAUAAAAAAACCUAUCAACAGUAUUUUUAGUUUGCAGUUUGCUUUAACAUACAACUCUAUGGCAUGCUGAUAUUGUCGCGGGU
rnacentral:lncRNA from 1 species